UGCGGCUUAGUGUAAUUAGCACUCAAAGUUUUGGUCUUUGUAGUCAGGGUUAUAUCCCUGAGUCGCAU
rnacentral:tRNA from 1 species